UUAUGGGUCAGGGCAGCUCUUCCCAGAAUUUGAGAAGCGUCCACUCCUAGAAAAGUAGCAGAGAAUGCCUUUCCCAGGAGAAAAGAAGAAAAAAGCAAAGCCAGGCACACAUGAUUUAUUUCUCUUUAAUCUGCCUGCAGAUUAAGCAGUUUUUAAAAAUGAAUUCCAUGGUGGAACAGAAAGCCUGGGAAUGUCAGACUCCACACAGAAGGAAAAUGAAGAUGAGGGAGUUUCUCCCUUUAACAGUUGUGUCCCGGGAGUUGAACUUGCUUUGGGCAUGGGGUCCAUGCGAAAAAGAUUUUAGUUUUAAUUUUAUAUCCUUUUGUCUCUUUAGAACUGUAUGACUCUAACAGUUCCCUUGGAACUUUGGAAGAGAAUGAAUAGCAGUUUUUAUCCCUUUAGGCCUACGACUGGAACAAGAACUGGCAUGACCUGCUACACUUUCAUUCUGGCAACAUGGGAAGAUCAGGACACGGAGGCAGCCAGGACAGCACAACUAGAGACAGAAAGAAGACUUCCAGAACUGCUUCAGAAAGUGUCAAGGACUACCUGAACGAGGUGAAUGAGUUCAAAAUGGGGGAGGGGUUCUUUGGGGGGAAUCAAUGGCAAUGUGUCUUUUACUGUGAUAAAUUCUUAAAAAUUUACAUCGCAUUUAUUUUUAUCACAUUGCUUAGGUUUACACUUAAGUUUAUUGCCAGAGAGGACUAAGAUUUCCUUACAGUCAAUUAUAAACACAUUCGGUGCUUAGAGGCCACACAAGGAUGGAAAGUAUUUCCCGUCUCCCUCUCCACUCUAUUGUCUGAGCAGAGGUCCCUGUUCAGGAGACUCCCCACAUCCCCUCAGCUUUGCCUUCUUUGCCCCUUUGCCCCUGUGCUCCUGGCUCCAUUUGGUGCUGGAGUCCUGCUUACCUUGAUCUUUUG
rnacentral:lncRNA from 1 species